rnacentral:rRNA from 1 species
AUUAAACGCUGGCGGCAUGCCUUACACAUGCAAGUCGAACGGCAGCACGGGGGCAACCCUGGUGGCGAGUGGCGGACGGGUGAGUAAAGCAUCGGAACGUAUCCUGGAGUGGGGGGAUAACGUAGCGAAAGUUACGCUAAUACCGCAUAUUCUGUGAGCAGGAAAGCAGGGGAUCGCAAGACCUUGCGCUCUGGGAGCGGCCGAUGUCGGAUUAGCUAGUUGGUGGGGUAAAGGCCUACCAAGGCGACGAUCCGUAGCGGGUCUGAGAGGAUGAUCCGCCACACUGGGACUGAGACACGGCCCAGACUCCUACGGGAGGCAGCAGUGGGGAAUUUUGGACAAUGGGCGGAAGCCUGAUCCAGCCAUGCCGCGUGAGUGAAGAAGGCCUCGGUUGU